UGUAGUGAUCUCGGUGGUUGUCAACAAUGAAAGCGUCUGAAUAAAUAGGUUUUUAUCAUUGUACUAAUUUAGUCUGAAGAAAUGGCGGUUGUUGGAUUAUGUAAGGCUUCAGUACUUGAUUCAUGUGUUGGUGAAAAUAUGUGUCCUGUAGCAAGGAGAUGUGGUAGUAAUAAUGAAAGGUCAACUACCCGGACAUCCUAUAUUCGGAAAAUGUGGAGGGAUCUUGAAAGUGAAGGCAGAGCUAGAGAAGAUGGAAAGCAGCAGAUGAGUGGUUUACUUACUGGUCAUGAUGGCCCAUGCUUAUCUUCUUUGGAAGGUGAAAGUAUUGCAAGUGAAGAUAGAUCAAGAGAUGCCAGUGAAAUUGAAAACGAAUGCCCCCAAACCCAAAACCGAAGUCAAAACCAGAUGGAUUUUCAAAACACAAAAGAGGAUAACGAGGAUUUGUGUUUGCAGCACACUCCUUCGCUUGGUGUUCCAGAAAAAGAGCGUGUGAGGAAGCUAUUUCAUGAAUGGGGCAGCAAAAGCUUUGAGGGUCAUACACUUUAUAGUCCAAGAAUGAGCAGUUGUUCAAGAUCACAAUGGCCUGCACAAAAUGAAUGCAAGAGGGUGAGGAUAGUGCGGGAGUGGAUAGAAUCAAGCACUCAGCUGGUAGACACUUGCAGAACUGGUUUGGAAGAGUCAGUCGCAGAAAAUGGAUCUCCAAUGGGACAAGUUCGGGAUGGCAUAGUAGACUUUGGAAAUUGCGCACGAAGCUCGAUCCGCAGAAUAUAUGGAAGGCAGGCUCUUCUUGACUUAUUAGCGAAAUUUGUGAGAGAAAGGAAGAGAGAAGUUGAUAAUUUGUUGGAUAAUCGAUAUGUUUCAAAUUUUGGACACCGGCAUCGAAUUCAGUCAUUACUUAAAGGUAGAUUCUUGAGGAACCAAAGAUUUGUGGAAGAUAAAAAACAGACUUCUGUUCCGGCCAGUGAGUUGGGGUUAUUGAGGCAAACACAAGCUGUAUCUGAAAUAAGGAAAGGGUUUCUCUCCAAAUUGAAUAACUAUCACCAGGCUGCAGAGUGUGCCCAAUCCGACUCUGACACGUCAUCUGACAAUGAAAUGAAUUAUGACCGCAUCAAACAAGCUGACAAAACAGUUAAAAAUGUCAUGACAUCUACCUUAACAAGCAACUCUGAAUCCCACAGUUCACUAGAAUAUGCUUCUCUGGAAACUCUGCAUCACGAAGAGAGACAAACACUACCACUCGCUGUUAAUCAUGCCCAGUCUAGCUCUGCUACCUCAUCUGACAAUAGGACAAAGUAUGAACACAUUAAAGAAGCUAAAGAAAUUGUUGAUAAGAUACCAGAUGAAAUCUGUGAAGAAUUAGAAACAAAUAAUUUGACAAUUCGCUGGGACGCCAGCAACCCACAAAUAUUUACUUCUACAAUAGACGAAAGGUGUGAUCAUGAUGAAUCACUGGAAAGAAAUCAAAGUAUAGGCAAUUUUGAUCUGUCACAAGGAACUUUGGGCACUGAAUGCACAAGUGGCCCCCUGGAAGAAGUUUAUGGAUCUAUUGUGGAGGAGCAGGAAACACAUGAAUCAUCAGUUAUUGAAGAUGAUGAUGAUGAUAUUUAUGCAUGGCAUCAUUUAAAUCGUAUUGAGUCUGACGAGGGUGUAGAUGUCCACUUAGAUGAGCAUGAAGAUGGAUGGUAUCAGGAAACACCAAGGAGUGAUUUUCAAGAAUCACAAGAGUGGUACGAAAAUGACAAUGCUCUGGAGGAUUCCACGGAAAUUUGGUUUGGUGGAGCUUCCUAUCUAGAGGCUGCUUUAGCUGAUAGGAGUAAUGCAUACUAUACGUCUGAUGAUGAUAAUGGCAGAAGGGUUGAACUCACAGAACUUUCAAGCAGGAGAAGAGUCUCCAAUCUUCUUGAAAGUGAUUUCGGUGCAAGACUGGACCAACUGAUGCAAUCAUAUAUUGAAAGACAAGAUCAGGCAUUUGAGUCGGAAAAUGGAUGGAUCCAAGAUCAGGAUCAACAGAGUCUAGAUCAGAGUGGAAGUGACAUAGAGGCUGUUGAUACAACUGAAGCUGUGGCUGAUAGGCAAAUUUCUGAUUCCCAUGAGCAUGUUGGAAAUGAAUGGGAGAUCAUUAAUGGCUUAAGGCUCGAUAUGAAUACCCUUCAGCAAAGGAUGGAUGGAAUGCAGAAAAUGCUGGAAGCGUGCAUGAAUAUGCAACAUGAGUUGCAACGAUCAGUGCAUCAAGAGGUUUAUUCAGCUCUUCAUCGGUUUUCAAAUACCGGAGGGGCAUGUGAAGAUGGUAUAAGGAAUGACCAAUCUGAAGCAAGGUCUGGAAUGGAAGGAGUCUGCUUCUUAUGUUGUGAUGAUUGUCCCAAUAGGUCUGCGCACAUGUAUAUAUGCUCAAAGUGUGCUGAGAAAAUAAAUUGGUCAAAGCUAAAGGAAAGUGUCAGACACCCCUAAGCUGAGGUGAAAACGUGUGCUUUUACGAUGCAUUUAAGAAUAAUUUUCUAGAGCAGACGAAUUAAAAGUUGGAAUAAGAAAGAUGAGUGGUCCUUUUCUGAUCAGAGUUAGAUCAUCAAUAUUGUUUAUAAUUCUUGAAGCCGAUGCUUUUUUAAGGCCUUGUUUGGUGAUGAAAUGAAGGUCUCGUAAGGUUUCGCUUCUUUGAUGAACUAUUAACGACUAACGUCUUGAAGAUAUAUGCUAGUGUAUUGUCGAUGACAAAGUGCAGAACAAUAUACAACUUUAACCACAAAAGGUACAUAUUAAUAUGAAUGCCGUUGCUUUAGUUCUGUAGGCAUUUGGAUUGGUCUUUAAUAUCUUACUUGGAGAUGAUACAGUAAGUUAUCAAACUCAUAUGAUACUUUGGUUUUUUAACAUCUAAUGAAUCACGUUAGUGAG